GAAGGGGGCGAGCGUUGUUCGGAUUUACUGGGCGUAAAGGGCGCGCAGGCGGUUCUGUUUGUCGAGUGUGAAAGCCCCGGGCUCAACCUGGGAACUGCGCUCGAAACGGCAGAACUAGAGUUCGGGAGAGGAGAGUGGAAUUCCCAGUGUAGAGGUGAAAUUCGUAGAUAUUGGGAAGAACACCGGUGGCGAAGGCGGCUCUCUGGACCGAUACUGACGCUGAGGCGCGAAAGCGUGGGGAGCAAACAGGAUUAGAUACCCUGGUAGUCCACGCUGUAAACGAUGUGUGCUAGACGUUGGGGAGCCUAGCUCUUCGGUGUCGCAGCUAACGCGGUAAGCACACCGCCUGGGGAGUACGGCCGCAAGGUUA
rnacentral:rRNA from 1 species